UUUCCAUAUUCUUGUUCAUGAUAAUAUUAGCAAGUUUGAUAUUCAGUACAUUGCUUUACAACCACAUCCACAGAAUGUUACUGUUUUGUAGCCCCAGAAAACUACAUAUCAUUUCAUUCUAGGACUAUGCUGUAAAAGAGAAAAUUGCAACAAGGCCUGGAUCUCGAAAACUUGAAUCUACUACUGAAUCAGAUGGGCCAUGCCAAUCCAUCUUAAGGCAGUCUGAGCUACUAAAAUAAUGAAAUAAAAAAAGAAGAUCUGUCUGCGUUAGUGCAGAUGAAGUGGCCGAACAGAUUUUCCCCAUGAAGGAGGUCCAGAAAGUGUACUUCACCAGCAAAUUCAACAAUGUGGACAAGCUAGGAAAAUAAGAGGUGUAAUUCAUGUCACAAUUCACGCCCCACACACACACACAAAGACAUAGGACACAUCCAAGCACCCAAUGCUGCCAUAAUUAAAUGCAUAGUGAAUGAUUAUGAAUGAGAUUUUUUCAUUAUGUAUGUAUAGAGUUUAUAAAUAGAUUUAUA